rnacentral:rRNA from 1 species
GAGCCCGCACAAGCAGCGGAGCGUGUGGUUUAAUUCGAUGCUACACGAAGAACCUUACCUGGGUUUGACAUGUAUGUAGUAGGGAAGCGAAAGCCGACCGACCCGCAAGGGAGCAUACACAGGUGCUGCAUGGCUGUCGUCAGCUCGUGCCGUGAGGUGUUGGGUUAAGUCCUCUAACGAGCGCAACCCUCGUUGCCAGUUAUACUUUUCUGGCGAGACUGCCGGGAUAUAACCGGAGGAAGGUGGGGAUGAAGUCAAGUCAGCAUGGCCUUUAUAUCCAGGGCUACACACACGCUACAAUGGUCGGUACAGAGGGAAGCCAAGCCGCGAGGCGGAGCUAAUCUCACAAAGCCGGCCUCAGUUCAGAUUGCAGGCUGCAACCCGCCUGCAUGAAGUCGGAGUUGCUAGUAACCGCAGGUCAGAAUACUGCGGUGAAUACGUUCCCGGGCUUU